UUUUUAACCGGACCUGCGGUGGACUUGGACUUGGGCGUCUGCCUCCCCAGGCUCGCCUCAAAUGACUCAAGUGGGAUCCUGUGACCUACGCCUGACGUAAUAAGUUUCGUCUCGGCUGGUCUCUUGGGAGCCUGCUCACAACACACCAUAAUCAUUUUGACAUUGACCUCAAAUCAGGUAGGGCUACCCGCUGAACUUAA
rnacentral:misc_RNA from 1 species